CUUGCAGUUUGAUCUCAGACUGCUAUGCUAGCAAUCAGCGAGACUCCGUGGGGUAGGACCCUCCAAGCCAGAGUAUCUGACUGUCUUCUCUCAGAUGAUUGCAUUUCAUGAUCCAGAGCUGAGUAAUCAUCUCAAUGAGAUUGGCUUCAUUCCAGAUCUCUAUGCCAUCCCUUGGUUUCUUACCAUGUUUACUCAUGUAUUUCCACUACACAAAAUUUUCCACCUCUGGGAUACCUUACUACUUGGGAAUUCCUCUUUCCCAUUCUGUAUUGGAGUAGCAAUUCUUCAGCAGCUGCGGGACCGGCUUUUGGCUAAUGGCUUUAAUGAGUGUAUUCUUCUCUUCUCCGAUUUACCAGAAAUUGACAUUGAACGCUGUGUGAGAGAAUCUAUCAACCUGUUUUGUUGGACUCCUAAAAGUGCUACUUACAGACAGCAUGCUCAACCUCCAAAGCCAUCUUCUGACAGCAGUGGAGUCAGAAGUUCGGCACCUUAUUUCUCUGCUGAGUGUCCAGAUCCUCCAAAGACAGAUCUGUCAAGAGAAUCCAUCCCAUUAAAUGACCUGAAGUCAGAAGUAUCCCCACGGAUUUCAGCA
rnacentral:sRNA from 1 species